AUACAGCUGACGAGUUCGUAAUGGGACGAAAUGCGUGUCCUGCAU
rnacentral:hammerhead_ribozyme from 1 species